ACGGAAGGCAGCAGUGAGGAAUAUUGGUCAAUGGGCGGAAGCCUGAACCAGCCAAGUAGCGUGAGGGACGACGGCCCUACGGGUUGUAAACCUCUUUUGUUCGGGAAUAAAGGGUCCCACGUGUGGGAUUUUGCAUGUACCGUUCGAAUAAGCAUCGGCUAAUUCCGUGCCAGCAGCCGCGGUAAUACGGAAGAUGCGAGCGUUAUCCGGAUUUAUUGGGUUUAAAGGGAGCGUAGGCGGUCCUUUAAGUCAGCGGUCAAACGUCGGGGCCCAACCCCGGCCUGCCGUUGAUACUGGAGGACUUGAAUACACACAAGGAAGGUGGAAUUCGUCGUGUAGCGGUGAAAUGCUUAGAUAUGACGAAGAACUCCGAUUGCGAAGGCAGCCUUCUGGAGUGCGAUUGACGCUGAGGCUCGAAAGCGCGGGUAUCAAACAGGAUUAGAUACCCUGGUA
rnacentral:rRNA from 1 species